rnacentral:rRNA from 1 species
UACGUAGGGGGCAAGCGUUGUCCGGAUUUACUGGGCGUAAAGAGCGCGCAGGCGGUCGUUCAAGUCGAGUGUGAAAGCCCCCGGCUCAACUGGGGAGGGUCAUUCGAUACUGAUCGACUCGAAGGCAGGAGAGGGAAGUGGAAUUCCCGGUGUAGUGGUGAAAUGCGUAGAGAUCAGGCGGAACACCCGUGGCGAAGGCGGCCAGCUGGGACGUCCCUGACGCUGAGGCGCGAAGGCGUGGGGAGCGAACGGG